rnacentral:rRNA from 1 species
UUCCAGCUCCAAUAGCGUAUAUUAAAGUUGUUGCAGUUAAAAAGCUCGUAGUUGAAUUUCGGGGUUAGUAGGUUGGUCAUGCCUCCGGUAUGUACUGAUCUCACUGAUUCCUCCUUCCUUAUGAACCGUAAUGCCAUUAAUUUGGUGUUGCGGGGAAUUUGGACUGUUACUUUGAAAAAAUUAGAGUGUUUAAAGCAAGCUAACGCUUGAAUACAUUAGCAUGGAAUAAUGAAAUAGGACGUUCGAUCUUAUUUUGUUGGUUUCUAGGAUUGACGUAAUGAUUAAUAGGGAUAGUUGGGGGCAUUAGUAUUCAAUUGUCAGAGGUGAAAUUCUUGGAUUUAUUGAAGACUAACUACAGCGAAAGCAUUUGCCAAGGAUGUUUUCAUUAAUCAAGAACGAAAGUUAGGGGAUCGAAGACGAUCAGAUACCGUCGUAGUCUUAACCAUAAACUAUGCCGACUAGGGAUCGG